rnacentral:rRNA from 1 species
CAGUAGCCGCGGUAAUACGGAGGGUGCAAGCGUUAAUCGGAAUUACUGGGCGUAAAGCGUGCGUAGGCGGUUCGUUAAGUCUGUUGUGAAAGCCCCGGGCUCAACCUGGGAAUGGCAAUGGAUACUGGCGAGCUAGAGUGUGUCAGAGGAUGGUGGAAUUCCCGGUGUAGCGGUGAAAUGCGUAGAGAUCGGGAGGAACAUCAGUGGCGAAGGCGGCUACCUGGACUGACACUGACACUGAGGCGCGAAAGCGUGGGGAGCAAACAGGAUUAGAUACCCCGGUAGUCCCUGUCUCUUAUAC